rnacentral:lncRNA from 1 species
GCAUUUAUGUAUGAAUAUUGAUGCAACCAGGGGUGACUUCUAAAUUUGUUCUCUUCUUUGCAUGCCAUCUUCUCUAGCAAUAGGUGAGGCAUUUCUGGAAGGUCUACUACACUGCUGGCAACCAAUCUGCAUUCUUUGUAAGUUAGAGAGGUCAUCACCCGAGGAGAAGAGGAGCAUGGAUCUUCUCUUUUUUGUGUGUAUGUAUGUAUAUUGAUGAGAUGAUGGGUGACUUGUAAAAUUGCUCUUCUCUUGUUUGCGAGUCAGCUUCUCUAGCAAUAGGCUGGGAACUUCUGGAAGUGGCGAAUUUGAGCCUCUUCUUCCUUUUCCCGUUUUGCCUUUUAAUUUCUUGUUUUUUGAAGAUUAUAUUUUUUUAAGGCUUCUUUAAUUACAAAACUGUAAUUAAAUUUCUUCUGAUGUGUUUUUUCUGUUGUUCCUGAAGAAUUCAUAGGAUUUGGAGGCUGAUGAUAGUUUCGAGAUAAGAUGGUAUCAAU